rnacentral:rRNA from 1 species
GUACGGGUGCGGAACACGUGUGCAACCUGCCUUUAUCUGGGGGAUAGCCUUUCGAAAGGAAGAUUAAUACCCCAUAAUAUGUUGAAUGGCAUCAUUCGACAUUGAAAACUCCGGUGGAUAGAGAUGGGCACGCGCAAGAUUAGAUAGUUGGUGAGGUAACGGCUCACCAAGUCUACGAUCUUUAGGGGGCCUGAGAGGGUGAUCCCCCCACACUGGUACUGAGACACGGACCAGACUCCUACGGGAGGCAGCAGUGAGGAAUAUUGGACAAUGGGUGAGAGCCUGAUCCAGCCAUCCCGCGUGAAGGACGACUGCCCUAUGGGUUGUAAACUUCUUUUGUAUAGGGAUAAACCUACCCUCGUGAGGGUAGCUGAAGGUACUAUACGAAUAAGCACCGGCUAACUCCGUGCCAGCAGCCGCGGUAAUACGGAGGGUGCAAGCGUUAUCCGGAUUUAUUGGGUUUAAAGGGUCCGUAGGCGGAUCUGUAAGUUAGUGGUGAAAUCUCACAGCUUAACUGUGAAACUGCCAUUGAUACUGCAGGUCUUGAGUGUGUUGAAGUAGCUGGAAUAAGUAGUGUAGCGGUGAAAUGCAUAGAUUUAC